GACGAACGCUGGCGGCGUGCUUAACACAUGCAAGUCGAACGGAAAGGCCCUGCUUUUGUGGGGUGCUCGAGUGGCGAACGGGCGAGUAACACGUGAGUAACCUGCCCUUGACUUUGGGAUAACUUCAGGAAACUGGGGCUAAUACCGGAUAGGAGCUCCUGCUGCAUGGUGGGGGUUGGAAAGUUUCGGCGGUUGGGGAUGGACUCGCGGCUUAUCAGCUUGUUGGUGGGGUAGUGGCUUACCAAGGCUUUGACGGGUAGCCGGCCUGAGAGGGUGACCGGCCACAUUGGGACUGAGAUACGGCCCAGACGCCUACGGGAGGCAGCAGUGGGGAAUAUUGCACAAUGGGCGGAAGCCUGAUGCAGCAACGCCGCGUGCGGGAUGACGGCCUUCGGGUUGUAAACCGCUUUCGCCUGUGACGAAGCGUGAGUGACGGUAAUGGGUAAAGAAGCACCGGCUAACUACGUG
rnacentral:rRNA from 1 species